CAGACCGGCCCCUUACAACCGCGAUACCGAAAUUUUACUGCUUGAUUGAAAGCAUCCCGCUCGCGCAUACAGAAUUGGAAAUGUUUUUGCUUCUUUUUCUACAGCUCAAGCGGGAUGCCACCAAUGCCACUCAUACAUCGCGGUUAUUAGAGUGAGACAGUUGCGCUGAGAAACGGACGAUCGGAAUUUGACGUUUGUAUUGACAUCGAAACUGAUUUACAGUUUUCGGUUGUUUUUUACCGAAAAUUUACGGCAAAGCGAUUUGUUUACAUAAAAAUACAAGAACUUCGGUACAACAUGAAUCGAAUUACCGAACUCGGUAAAAAUAAGACGUCAGAUUGAUCAUUUACCGAAAAUUUUCGAAUUACAGAACAGUUUCUGUAAACUAAAUUACCGAACUCGGUAAUUUUGGUUUACUGUGUACGUCAUGGUAGCCUUAAACUGUUCGCAGAUGAUUCCGUCUCCUACUGGAGUGGUAAAGACUUAGAGCUCGUGGUGUCAAAGGCAAAUUCAGAUUUGAGAAACAUUGCAGAGUUUUUAAAGCAUAGAAAACUGUGCCUUAAUUUAAAUAAAACCAGCUGGAUGAUUAUUGGAAAUCGACAGAUUGGAGUUUGUCCAGAAUUGUUAAUUGAUGGUUGUGUCGUCGAAAAAGUACGUCAGGUUAAAUACUUAGGAGUACAAGUCGACGAAAAACUAAAUUUCAUAGCUCACAUCGACUACAUCAUAAAGAAAAUUGCCAUUAAAUAUGGUGUACUUUGUCGAAUAAAUAGAUAUAUGACUUUUUGGUCCAAAAUAACUUACGUGAAAUCUGUUAUUAUGCCACAUUUUGAUUAUUGUGCUACGAUAUUGCUUCAUGCAUCAGAAACACAAACAAAGCGGCUGCAAAGAAUACAAAACAAAAUAAUGCGAGUAGUUAUACGAUGCAACAGAUAUACUCCUAGUGCUUUAAUGCUUGAUAUGCUGCAAUGGUUGUCAGUUAAGCAGAGGAUUGCGUAUAACAGCUUGAUUUUUAUCUACAAAAUGAUUAAAGGAUUGCUUCCAGCUUAUCUAUCAGACGGUCUGCAGUACGGAAUUGAUGUACACGGAUACAAUACAAGAAGAGCACAUGAUUUUAGAUUACCAAACUCGAAAAAAGAGAUGACAAAACGUUCUGUGUUCUAUAACGGACUGAAAAUGUAUAACAACCUACCAAGAAGCAUCAAAGACAGCCCAAACUUAAACACUUUUAAGAACCUGGCAAUAAAUUACGUGAAACAGAAAAUUUGAAAAAAGGACUAAUCCUAAAAAGGAUAAUACAAUAGUGAUGAAGAUCUGACGAAGCAUCAGAUAGAAAUUGUACGGUGAUGGACAUACGCGGGAGUAAGACGAAUAAGUCGUACAGAAAUUGAUAAAAUAAAGUAAACAAUACGAAUUAUCCUAAGGAUAAACUGUCCCUCCCACUUCUAAAGAUGCGUAUGGGGUGGAGGAAGGACCCAAAUGGGCCCGUGGGACCAUCACGAAAAAAAAAAAAAGAAGGCCAUUACAAUCUGGAGUGCAAGCAGAGUCAUCAACGGCCGAAAAUUUCAACAGUUUAUAAAAUGUUCAAGAAUGAUGAUUCGAGAAGACCAAAAUAAAAUCUUAGGAAAACCGCGGAACACCGGAAACAAAAUGUAGAAGGAACCUUCAUCACGUUUGGUUUUGGCAUAUAGUUCCUGAUACAGUAUUAAUGACAAAAAUGAAGACAAAAAUAUUUUAUGUGAAAAAAAAUAACAGUGAUGAAUAAAUAAACCAGCAUUUUAAAAAUUUGAAUUAUUUCAUUGAAUGCAUGGAUAAAUUACCAUAGUUUUGUCUUAAAUACCAUGGCAUAGUAAAAUUGACCGUCAUUCUACCAUAACGCACCAUAACACGUUCCCAUGGUAAUUUUAACUAAUCUGUUGUUCAAGAUAACCAAAAACGUACUCGAAAAAAAACCAUCUGUUUUUAUUUUUAAAUUUACCCUCGGAUAUGGUAACGGUUACCAUGAUUUUUUUUUCGGUGUAGUGAUAGACGACCAUGUAGUAUGCUUUGAAAUAUAACGUUGCUACUGUAACAAUUGUGCAGCCUGCAGUUCAUAUUGGAUAUGAUACAGAUCAACCCGGUUGUUACAGCAAUUUCUCGCACACAGACCUUUUCUCAAUCAUGGAAGUCGUCACUAGUGGGUUUGUUUCUAUGUCUCGAAACAAUUCGAUUUGGGUCGAAGACGCAUCUUUGGUAAACCUUAUGCAAAAGAACAUGUCCAUCACAGAUGCUAAAUGGAUUGAUCACUGGUACGGUGGCUUAGUUCCCUGGUGGUAUGUCUAGGCGAUACUCAUCAAAUUCGGAGGCACCGUUGAACUGAAGACAAAAACGCCUACGAUUCGCCAAUUGCACGGAGAUAAAGGGUGGAACGACGAGUUCGGGUACCAUAUAAAAACAGACAAGUCGGCCGCAUCUGACAUGGCAAUACUGUCAAGUGCUUUGUGCUAUGAGAAAAAAGUCCAAAGAAAGAGAAUGCCUUAUUUCACCAUACGAACCCCAAACAAAAAUAGUCGCGAGAUGGAUGUGCAUUGGACUGGAUGGUAUUACAAUUAUGUGAACGAUCUUUCCAAAAAAGGGAUUCGAUCAGGGAGGGCGGUGUCAAUUCCAGAAUAUGAUGGCGUGGUAGAACUGAACUGCAUAGUGUUCCCCGAGUCGCGAACAUUUAAGGGUAUAGAACACCCUGAGGGUUUUAUUGCUACAGACAAUCGCUAUAUGCUUCCUUACGAUCAGGAAGUUUUUGGCGGACUUAAAUGGCCCCGUAAAUAAGACGAUUUUGGAAAUGAAUAUACGAAGACAAAAUCAACGGUAAGUCGCACUUUUGCGAACGACAUGAGAAAAGACCUGUUUAUAUCGAGAUCCACUUUUUCAGGCAAUUUUAAACAAGUGGGAUGGAAACUGGACCAUGUCAUCCAAAUUUGAUGAGCAAGCAUCGUAGUUAGACUGCUUACCUUAUAUUUACAUUGAUUAUAUUGUUACUCUUAAACUAUUUUACAAAUAACCCAACAUUUAACCUACUGCAAAUAUUAAAAAAUAAACAUCUCUGGAAAACAUA